rnacentral:rRNA from 1 species
GAUGAACGCUGGCGGCGUGCCUAAUACAUGCAAGUCGAGCGAACAGACGAGGAGCUUGCUCCUCUGACGUUAUCGGCGGACGGGUGAGUAACACGUGGAUAACCUACCUAUAAGACUGGGAUAACUUCGGGAAACCGGAGCUAAUACCGGAUAAUAUAUUGAACCGCAUGGUUCAAUAGUGAAAGUCGGUUUUUCUGUCUCUUAUAGAUGGAUCCGCGCCGCAUUAGCUAGUUGGUAAGGUAACGGCUUACCAAGGCAACGAUGCGUAGCCGACCUGAGAGGGUGAUCGGCAACACUGGAACUGAGACACGGACCAGACACCGACGGGAGGCAGCAGUAGGGAAUAUUCCGCAAUGGGCGAAAGCCUGACGGAGCAACGCCGCGUGAGUGAUGAAGGACUAAGGAUCGUAAAACUCUGUUAGUAGGGAAGAAAAAAUGUGUAAGUAACUAUGCACGUAAUGACGGUACCGAAACAGAAAGCCACGGCUAACUACGUG